rnacentral:rRNA from 1 species
GUGCCAGCCGCCGCGGUAAUACGGAGGGUGCAAGCGUUGUUCGGAAUUAUUGGGCGUAAAGCGCGCGCAGGCGGCCCGUUAAGUCUGAUGUGAAAACCCUCGGCUCAACCGAGGACGUGCAUUGGAUACUGGGGGGCUUGAGUCUCGGAGAGGAAAGCGGAAUUCCCAGUGUAGAGGUGAAAUUCGUAGAUAUUGGGAGGAACACCGGUGGCGAAGGCGGCUUUCUGGACGAUGACUGACGCUGAGGCGCGAAAGCGUGGGUAGCAAACAGGAUUAGAAACCCCGGUAGUCC